UCCUGUAUCAGCUAAAUUAUGCAAUUUAUAAUGCAUGUCUGCUAUACAUUUACUUUUUAAAGGAAAGCAGAAACUCGCGGCAAACCAAAGGAGGAAGGAGAAGAAAACCAGGCUAAAACAGAAACACCCACAGUCUCUACAAACCUAGAGGAAGCAGAAGAUGAAGUGCUAUAUGCAUCUGUCCACAUUCAACCUAAAGAACGGCUUCAAAUGUCUGCCAACACAGGGCAGGAGAAUGAUUCAGCCAUCUACAGCACCGUAGUGAAUGGUUAACCU